UACGAAGGGUGCAAACGUUGCUCGGAAUCAUUGGGCGUAAAGCGCACGUAGGCGGCUUGCCAAGUCGGACGUGAAAUCCCUCAGCUCAACUGAGGAAGUGCAUCCGAAACUGCUGAGCUUGAGUACUUAAGAGGAUCGCGGAAUUCCCGGUGUAGAGGUGAAAUUCGUAGAUAUCGGGAGGAACACCAGUGGCGAAGGCAGCCUCCUGGGCCAGCACUGACGCUCAUGCACGAAAGCGUGGGGAGCAAACAGG
rnacentral:rRNA from 1 species